AGGAGCCGAGCGUGAGCCCCGGAGUAAAGGGGCGAGGAGCCCGGCAUAAAAUGCAAAGUUUCCACUUCGGACUAAAGCUGGCAUAAUCGAGAAGCGAACCUAGAGUGAGAGCAAUAGGAGUUGGUGUCAAGGAGUGUACGCGGAGUAAGGGGCAAGAAGAGUUAAAAGCUAAAACAAACAAGGGCAAAAGCAGGACAGUGACCAGGAGUGAGAGAGACGGGAGUGACAUUCGGAGUAAGGAGGGAGUUUGAGGUGCCUCCUCGCUGGGUGCCCUGUGCCCAGGCUCCUGCUGUGGAUAGGGUCAGCUGUUCACUGCAGUAACCGUGGGGCAGUGGCUGGAGAAGAGAACGAGGGAGGAUGACAGUGGAUUCUCCAGUGCCAAGUAGUUUUUUUUGAUUAUUAAGAUGGGAGUAUGGGACUUGAUAAGUGGAGGGCACUGAAUAAAAGAGCAGGAAGAUUAUGAUGGCGCUGUAUAUUGUUAGUUACACCACAGCUGAAGUACUGUAUGCAGUUCUGGCAGCCACACUGAAGGAAGGAUGUAGUUGCUCUAGAGAGGCUGCCAAGGUGAUUCACUGCUGUGGUACUUGAGUAGAUAGACCGGGGGUAUUUUCCUUCGAGCAGUGAGGGCUGAGGGAGAACCUGAUUGAGGUGUACCACAUUGAGGGCCAUUGAUAGGGAGGAACUUCCCCCUUUGGAGUGGGAUCAAUAACCAAGGGGGUAUAGAUUCAAAGUAAAGGGGUAGUGUGUUUAGAUGGAAUUUAAGAUUUUUAUUCAUCCAGAAGGUGAUAAAGGCAGGAACCAUCAUAAUAUUUAAGAAAUAUUCAGAUCAGCCCUUGCAACAGUUCUGACUGAGCAGGAGUGGGACUGAGUUUCCACAGUGUAUUGGAGGAAGCUGUUUGGGUAUACUGUUACAGUGUUUGUGCUACAUCCUGACUUGUGUGUGAUUAUCAGAGUUAUGGGUCUUCCGUUCAGCCUGGUGGGGAAGGAAAGGAACAGCUGCCAGUUCCCAUCCCCCCUCAUUUGCAGCGGGUUGUAUUCUGUGCAGCAUGACCUGCUUCACCCUCGCAAUCCUCUGAGGUAUCUGCACUCCUCUAAAUCUUGCUCCUUGAGCAUCCUCGAUUUUAUUCACUCUUCCAGUGAUAACCAUGCCUUCAGCUCGCCUGGUCUUUAAACUCUCUGCUUCCUUCCCAUAAUCUAUCUACUUUUGUCUCCUCCUCUAAGACACUGUUUCAGAAUGAGCUGCGACUAAACUUUUGGUCGGCUGGUUUUAUUAUUUCUUCAUGCAACUUGGUGGCAAAUGCCCUGUGAAACAUAUUGGAAUGUUUCACCACAUUAACGGCACUUUUUAAAUACAGAUUGUUGUUUUGUUUGCCUCCAGAACUGGAUCCCAGUGCACUUUGGUUAUAGAGAAUAGAGAGCCAGCAGAUGGAGGGACUUUGGGAAUUCCUGUUGAAGCUGCUGUCGAUAUGGCUGAUUCUUGGAAUCACUCUCAUUAUGCUGCCUGCCAUGUUUGGGGUUUCAUUGGGAAUAACAGAACUUUACAUGAAAAUUCUUGUCAAGACUCUUGAGUGGGCAACUCGAAAAAUACAAAAAAGAGCACGGGAACAGCCUGGCCACCCUUAUUCUCCUUCCAAUG